GCCUUUGAGAGUUCCAUGCUUCCUUACAUUCAAUAGUAUUCAAAUAAGCAUAUGGAAUGUAAAGAAGUAUGGAGCGAAAUCUGGCGA
rnacentral:pre_miRNA from 1 species